CUGCGGGGCAACAGAUCACUGGAUCAGAGACUGUCCAGAGAUUAGAAAGGACAUUAAGAAGUGCCCGUAGCCACAUAUAUGUAAAAAGGAGGACUGACUCCCUGGAGGGCCAAGGACAGGGGAUGAUGAGCCAAGGGCACAUCCAGGAAGGCGGGGAUGACCUGCCGGCAGACGGGACCAGAAGGGCACGCCCCCCCCCGGAAAAGAGGGAGGGAUGUACGUCAUGCUGGGGGCUCCCCAGCCUGAAAAAACGAGGGAGGAAUGUGGCAGGGCGGAGGGCGGGGCCGGACCGUGAUUCUGCACACCCGGCCCCUAAUCAGGCUGAUCAAGCCCGAGAGGGAUAAAGCCAACCGGAGACAGCAGUUCGACAGAGAGAGAAUUACAGGCAGCUGACCUAUGAUGGAGAUUCACAUGACUGUGUUGCGUCAAUACCAGUGAUUUGCUCCCCCAACCAAGACCUUAAGGGUACACCACUCUCCAUUGCUGAUUUGGAACUGUUUUUUAAUGGUUCUGCCUCAAGGGACCCUGUCAUGGCAAAGACUAGAGCUGGGUUCGCUGAAGUAACUGCAUUUGAUACUGUCAUUGCACACCCCUUAACCAGACACACAUCUGCACAAGCAGCAUAAUUGAUAGCUUUAACUGAAGCCUGCAAACAAGUGACUGGUAAGUCCGAUAACAUUUACACUGACAGUAGAUAUGCAUUCAGGGUGGUGCAUGAUUUUGUGGCCAUUUGUGGCCAAAGAGACCUCCUUACAUCUACAGACAAACCCAUCUCUAACGGACCCCUGGUGGCGACCCUGUUAGAGGAUGUACUGUUACCGUCCUCUGUUGCGGUGUAUAAAUGUGAGGCUCACACUUACUCCCUUGACUCCAUUUUUGUAGGAAAUGCACAAGCAGAUGCUGCAGCAAAGAAAGCUGCUCAACAGGAAGUUCAAAACUACUCUUUUGUUUCUGUUCUGCAAACUGACACACACACUAAAUGCAGAUUUAAUUGAUUUACAGAGCAGAGCCACAGCGGAGGAGAAAGCUGCCUGGAAGAACGCUAACUGUUCGAAGCAAGACGGUAUUUGGGUCGGUCCAAAUGGUAAACCAUGCCUGCCACGUCAUUUUUUUCCACAUUAUGCCAAAUUGGAGGGAUGUUGAGUGAAAUAGAUAGGUACUGGUUAAAAAAUAAAUAGGUACUGGUUCACAAAGGGGUUUUCCAUUUAUGGCACAAAUUCUUUUUGAUAUGUGCCAAAUUUAAUAUAGGAAGAGAGCAACAGAUGCUUUGAGUGCACAUCCGCCACCUGAAAAGCCAUUUGACCACCUUCAAAUGGACUUUAUUGAAAAGUAUUGCUUGGUGAUUGUAGACAUGUUCUCCAAGUGGGUAGAGUACCCCACAGAAAGGCAGAUGCAAGUGCAGUGGCAAAAAUUCUAAUGCGAGAAUUAAUGCCCAGAAUGGGCAUUCCAGUGACAAUGGAACCCACUUUGUGAAUCAAGCCCUAUGUCACACCGGUCAGUAUUUGGUAAUUGAUAUGACAACACACUGUGCCUAACACCCUAAGAGUGGGGGAGCAGUGGAAAGAGAAAAUGGCACACUAAAAAACAAAUUGGUCAAAUGUUCAGUUGAAACUGGACUAAAUUGGGUUCAAGCAUUACCAUUGGUGUUAAUGCAGAUGUGGGCAAGGCUCAGAAAAUUAUAUGGUUUGAGCCCAUUUGAAAUUUUGUUUGGCAGGCCCCUUAACAUGGGAAUUGGACCACAAAAAAGGCAGUUGCCUGAUACCGACCAGUGUGAGGAUGAAAAUGUACGUUCUUGUGCAAACCUCUCUGCUGUGCUUUGUGAUAUUCAUAGACAGGUGAAAGCAGCGCUCCCCAGGGAGGCGAAAGGGAAAUUGCAUGAUCUGGAGCUGAGAGACUGGGUGGUGGUGAAGGACUGCAAAUGGAGAAAUUGGAGGAAGCCUAGUGGACUGGGCCCUACCAGGUGCUGUUAGUGACUAACUCAGCGGGAAAAAUCAUGAAGAAGGCUACCUGGAUCCACGCCAGCCACUGCAGGAAGGUCUCGUCAAGCCUGGAGGAGUGGGAAGGAUCGGCAAGCACCUCAGUGCUUAGCAGCGGAGCCAAGGAAAUGCAGUUCACAUCACGCGUGCCUCUAACUUUGACAGAGGCAGAAGAUUCCCUUAGGGGGACCAACGAGGGUCAGGAAAAUUGAGGGGGCCCUAAGACUGGGUGAAGAUCAGACAAGAACACAUUACAACCACAACAGAGAAGGAAAAACACACCAAGGAAGUGGUGGUGUAAACUUUUUGGACACACACGGAACUGUCCAAUGUGUGACCCAGACUUGUAUACAGUUCCCCUUCUAUCUGAAUGGUUGUGAGGUGUCAAGAAUGAACAAGUAAUCAAGUAUGUUUUAAGAAAUAGUUUAAAAGGGAUCUUUACAUAAAUUCAACAGAUGGAUUUGAGAGACUUGCUUUCUUUUUGUCUGAAAACAUAUGAUAAUUGAAUUUACUUAAUAGCUCAAUUAGACAAAAUGAUAAUUGAAGAUCAUGAGAAACAAAACUCUUGGUGGGUCAUCCUAGAAUAUUUGAGUAGAGGAGUGCCAGGGACACGGCCAAUAUUAGCAAAAUCUGAGUCGCUGUGCAGCUGGAAUCCACUAUUCAAUCUGCCAAUAGUCCCCAGCAAUUGUACAAGAAAAGCAAUAGAGUUUGCAAGACACAUUAACACCAAGAGGGCAAACUAACCUAGUGGUGUGAAGACCAAGGAGGGAUGCAGAAGGGCGGCCAAAGCAUUCUUGGAUGCCACAUACAAUAAUAAUACCCCUUUAGAGACCGUUGAAUGUUGGCUAAUGCUUUGUAAUGACAGUUAUAACUCGCAACUAAUAGAAAAGGCAGAGAACGUUACACCAAUAGAAAGACCGACUGGGAUAAAGAAAUCAGAACAUCUGAGAUGUGUCUGUAAUAAUGGGCCAGUGCAAUUUGUGGGGAUGUCCACCUGCCGAGAGUACUUAACAGGGAUAAUGAACCUAUCGUAUUAUAAAGGGGGGGAGGGGGGUGGUCUAUGGCUAUAACAAGCAACACGGAUAAGAAUAUAACUAUGACACUUGAUAGCAAAACAGUUGUGGCAAAUAAUUGCCUCAGAAACCAUGUAAACCUAGGUAUAGGGUUUAUGUAUUCCAGUUAUUGACAGUGUGUAAAUCAAACAUUCGAUAGACUACCAACUGAUUGGAGUGGAUGUUGUUAUUUGAUAAAGUUGAAACUACACAAUAUAAUGAUGCUGAGGGGCGAAAGAGUUAAACAAAAUAGGUUAAAGCCUACAGCGAGGAGGGGCACACUCUGACACAAUGGUGUCAGGAGCACAACCUCUCCCUCAACGUCAGUAAGACAAAGGAGCUUGUGGUGGACUUCAGGAGAAGAGAUAGAGAACACAGUCCCAUCACCAUCAAUGGAGCACCAGUGGAGGGAGUCAGCAGCUUCAAGUUCCUGGGUGUCCACAUCACAGAGGAACUAACAUGGUCCAUCCACACUGAAGCCGUUGUGAAGAAGACUCAUCAGCGCCUCUUCUUCAUGAGAUGGCUGAGGAAGUUUGGAAUGAACCGCCACAUCCUCACACGGUUCUACACCUGCACUGUAGAGAGCAUCCUGACUGGCUGCAUCUCCACCUGGUACGGCAAUAGCACCGGCCACAACCGCAAAGCACUGCAAAGGGUGGUGCGAACUGCCAGACACAUCAUCGGAGGUGAGCUUCCCUCCCUCCAGGACAUAUAUACCAGGCGGUGUGUGAAAAAAGCUCGGAGGAUCAUCAGAGACUCCAGCCACCCGAGCCACGGGCUGUUCAGGACCCGCACCAGCCGAAUUCAUGACAGCUUCUUCCCCCAAGCAAUCAGACUUUUGAACUCUUGAUCUCCCACGAUCAAAUACAUCAGCACUGCACUUUAUUACUCUUAUAUCUCACACCGGACUGUCAUAAAUUAUAUUAUUAUUAUAUUAUAUUCUCUUACUAUCAACUGACAGCCUGAAUGUCAAUACAGUACAAUACAACCUACUGUACAUUCUAUAUAUACUAUAUAUACAUUUUUCUAUUGUAUAAUGUGUAUUCUAUAUUGUGAGUAUUGUAUACUGUACAUUGUAUGUUAUUAUUUGUAUAUUGUGUUGUGUGUAAUUAUGUGUAUAUUAGAUUUUAAACUGUGUUGUAAAUCUGAUGUUUAUUGUAAAUUGUCUCAUCACUGUCAUGACUACUAUGUUGCUCGGAACUGCACCCAAGAAUUUCACACACUAUUGCACUUGUGUAAAUGGUUGUGUGACAAU